AGAGUUUGAUCCUGGCUCAGAGCGAACGCUGGCGGCGUGCUUAACACAUGCAAGUCGAGUGCGCGCCUGUAGCAAUACAGGUGGCGCACGGCGCACGGGUGCGUAACACGUGGGUAAUCUGCCCUUCGAUGGGGAAUAACUCCGGGAAACCGAAGCUAAUUCCGCAUAACAUUCCUUGAACUUCGGUUUGGGGACUCAAAGCCGUAAGGCGUCGGAGGAGGAACCCGCGCACGAUUAGCUAGUUGGUAGGGUAACGGCCUACCAAGGCUUUGAUCGUUAGCUGGUCUGAGAGGAUGGCCAGCCACACUGGAACUGAGACACGGUCCAGACUCCUACGGGAGGCAGCAGUGGGGAAUCUUGCACAAUGGGCGAAAGCCUGAUGCAGCGACGCCGCGUGGGGGAUGAAGCUUCUCGGAGUGUAAACCCCUUUCGACCCGGACGAAUACCUCGUAAGAGGGGUGACGGUACGGGUAUAAGAAGCCCCGGCUAACUACGUGCCAGCGGCCGCGGUAAGACGUGGGGGGCCAGCGUUGCUCGGAAUUACUGGGUGUAAAGGGUUCGUAGGCGGUGUGGCAAGUCGGGAGUGAAAUCUCUGGGCUUAACUCAGAGUCUGCUUCCGAAACUGCUGUGCUUGAGUGUGGGAGAGGCGCGUGGAAUUGCAGGUGUAGCGGUGAAAUGCGUAGAUAUCUGCAGGAACACCCGUGGCGAAAGCGGCGCGCUGGACCACUACUGACGCUGAGAACGAAAGCUAGGGGAGCAAACAGGAUUAGAUACCCUAGUAGUCC
rnacentral:rRNA from 1 species